rnacentral:rRNA from 1 species
GCAGCAGCCACGGGAAUACAGAGGGUGCGAGCGUUAAUCGGAUUUACUGGGCGUAAAGCGUGCGUAGGCGGCUUCUUAAGUCGGAUGUGAAAUCCCUGAGCUUAACUUAGGAAUUGCAUUCGAUACUGGGAAGCUAGAGUAUGGGAGAGGAUGGUAGAAUUCCAGGUGUAGCGGUGAAAUGCGUAGAGAUCUGGAGGAAUACCGAUGGCGAAGGCAGCCAUCUGGCCUAAUACUGACGCUGAGGUACGAAAGCAUGGGGAGCAAACAGGAUUAGAUACCCGUGUAGUCCCUGUCUCUUAUAC